rnacentral:rRNA from 1 species
CUCGUAGGCGGUUCAGUAAGUCAGGUGUGAAAGCUCCGAGCUCAACUCGGAGAGGCCACCUGAUACUGCUGUGACUUGAGUCCAGUAGAGGAGCGUGGAACUCCUGGUGUAGCGGUGGAAUGCGCAGAUAUCAGGAAGAACACCUGCAGCGAAGGCGGCGCUCUGGGCUGGAACUGACGCUGAGGAGCGAAGGCAUGGGUAGCAAACA